rnacentral:rRNA from 1 species
GCGGGACACGUGGUAUCCUGUCUGAAUAUGGGGGGACCAUCCUCCAAGGCUAAAUACUCCUGACUGACCGAUAGUGAACCAGUACCGUGAGGGAAAGGCGAAAAGAACCCCGGCGAGGGGAGUGAAAAAGAACCUGAAACCGUGUACGUACAAGCAGUGGGAGCCUCUUAAUGGGGUGACUGCGUACCUUUUGUAUAAUGGGUCAGCGACUUAUAUUCUGUAGCAAGGUUAACCGAAUAGGGGAGCCGAAGGGAAACCGAGUCUUAACUGGGCGUUAAGUUGCAGGGUAUAGACCCGAAACCCGGUGAUCUAGCCAUGGGCAGGUUGAAGGUUGGGUAACACUAACUGGAGGACCGAACCGACUAAUGUUGAAAAAUUAGCGGAUGACUUGUGGCUGGGGGUGAAAGGCCAAUCAAACCGGGAGAUAGCUGGUUCUCCCCGAAAGCUAUUUAGGUAGCGCCUCGUGAAUUCAUCUCCGGGGGUAGAGCACUGUUUCGGCAAGGGGGUCAUCCCGACUUACCAACCCGAUGCAAACUGCGAAUACCGGAGAAUGUUAUCACGGGAGACACACGGCGGGUGCUAACGUCCGUCGUGAAGAGGGAAACAACCCAGACCGCCAGCUAAGGUCCCAAAGUCAUGGUUAAGUGGGAAACGAUGUGGGAAGGCCCAGACAGCCAGGAUGUUGGCUUAGAAGCAGCCAUCAUUUAAAGAAAGCGUAAUAGCUCACUGGUCGAGUCGGCCUGCGCGGAAGAUGUAACGGGGCUAAACCAUGCACCGAAGCUGCGGCAGCGACACUAUGUGUUGUUGGGUAGGGGAGCGUUCUGUAAGCCUGUGAAGGUGGCCUGUGAGGGGUGCUGGAGGUAUCAGAAGUGCGAAUGCUGACAUAAGUAACGAUAAAGCGGGUGAAAAGCCCGCUCGCCGGAAGACCAAGGGUUCCUGUCCAACGUUAAUCGGGGCAGGGUGAGUCGACUCCUAAGGCGAGGCCGAAAGGCGUAGUCGAUGGGAAACAGGUUAAUAUUCCUGUACUUGGUGUUACUGCGAAGGGGGGACGGAGAAGGCUAUGUUGGCCGGGCGACGGUUGUCCCGGUUUAAGCGUGUAGGCUGGUUUUCCAGGCAAAUCCGGAAAACCAAGGCUGAGGCGUGAUGACGAGGCACUACGGUGCUGAAGUGACAAAUGCCCUGCUUCCAGGAAAAGCCUCUAAGCAUCAGGUAACAUCAAAUCGUACCCCAAACCGACACAGGUGGUCAGGUAGAGAAUACCAAGGCGCUUGAGAGAACUCGGGUGAAGGAACUAGGCAAAAUGGUGCCGUAACUUCGGGAGAAGGCACGCUGAUAUGUAGGUGAAGCGACUUGCUCGUGGAGCUGAAAUCAGUCGAAGAUACCAGCUGGCUGCAACUGUUUAUUAAAAACACAGCACUGUGCAAACACGAAAGUGGACGUAUACGGUGUGACGCCUGCCCGGUGCCGGAAGGUUAAUUGAUGGGGUUAGCGGUAACGCGAAGCUCUUGAUCGAAGCCCCGGUAAACGGCGGCCGUAACUAUAACGGUCCUAAGGUAGCGAAAUUCCUUGUCGGGUAAGUUCCGACCUGCACGAAUGGCGUAAUGAUGGCCAGGCUGUCUCCACCCGAGACUCAGUGAAAUUGAACUCGCUGUGAAGAUGCAGUGUACCCGCGGCAAGACGGAAAGACCCCGUGAACCUUUACUAUAGCUUGACA